AUCUUUUAAGCCCAUUGUGGAUUAAAAAAAAAAAUUAAGAGGACCCUGUGGGUGGGAGGUAGAAGCAGAGUGGGUCCCCCUCAUCUGACUACUUUUACAUUGGCUGGGAGGUGUUAAGGGAAACAAUAGCUGUGUUGUUGUGCCGCUCCCCCCAUCCUUCUGCCUCAGGUUGGAAAGGGCUGUGUUGGGGUGGGGUGGUGGUAAGGGGGAACUGGUGGAGGUGACACUGAUCUCUUCUGGUCCAUGCAUCGGAAGGGAGGAGAAAGGGGUUUCAAUGAGGCAGAGUGGGAUGGGCUUUUAUUUUUUAAGGGGGGAGGUCUUCAGGCAAUGGCAGCACCCCCUUUUUGCUGUCUACCAAGGAGAGCUGCAAGAGAAAGAAAGAGAGGGGAGCGAAAUUCCUGAAUGGAUAGACAGAUGCUACGUCAUCAGGGCUGCAGCCUCUACUCCACAAGAGGCUAGGAGCUGGGGGGGAGAGAAGCAGACCAGCCGUGGGGGCCUGAGAGACAGACACCUCCUCUUCACAGGAACUGGGCUUCGGACACCCCCCUGCGACCCCCCAGCCUCCGAAUUACAUGCCCGGUGUUGGGGGUGGGGCAUAGAGAAGGAGGGUUGGAGAACCCGACGCUGCAGAAGAGAAGCCAUCGACAGGAGAGGGAGCACAGACUUCCUAUUUGAUUUGGUCUUGGCAUUCCUCUUCCUUCUCUUCAUUCUGCAGCACAACUCAGCACGUUUGAUAUUGGUAUUCAGCACAUUGGACAGCGCCAGGAUGAACAAUAAGAGGACUUAAAGGACAAGGGGCCAAUAGCAUACAGAGGGAGAAGCCUUAACACAAUUGGCCUCCAUGUACCUGAAGCAGCCUUCCAGGAUUGACUGGAGGACAGAUAACGCCAGCUACUAAUCCCAGGGAGAGAGAAAGUGAAGAGAUCUUCCUGUCACCCUCUCCACUGAUAUCCACCCUCCUCCAGGAAGUUUGUCAGGAUUCAUAGAGCAUCAGCCCUUGAAUUGCCUGGUUCCUGUCCGGGAUAAAAGUAUUUGACCUUCAUGUAUACUUAUUGUGUAUCUAAGUUAUAUUUUAAUAUAUUUAACAUCUACUGGUCAUCCUGCCAUCUAGGGGAGGGGGGGGGUAAGAGGUGAAAAAUUGGAACAAGAGGUUUGGCAAUUGUUAAUCCUGUAAAGUUACCCAUGUAUAUAUCCUGUAAAUAAAAGGCUAUUAAAUUUAAAAAAAAAAAAAGUAUUUGACCUUAACACAUCUCAUCUCUGUGUAUUUUUACUAGCCUGGGAGCCCCAUGGGGGCAGGACCUGAGUCUGUGUUGAAUAAAAGCUCUUAGAUCCUGAUGACUGAUGAAGUUUGUGUUUGGAUUAG
rnacentral:lncRNA from 1 species